GGGGCUAGCGUUGUUCGGAAUUACUGGGCGUAAAGCGCACGUAGGCGGAUUGUUAAGUGAGGGGUGAAAUCCCAGGGCUCAACCCUGGAACUGCCUUUCAUACUGGCAAUCUAGAGUUCGAGAGAGGUGAGUGGAAUUCCGAGUGUAGAGGUGAAAUUCGUAGAUAUUCGGAGGAACACCAGUGGCGAAGGCGGCUCACUGGCUCGAUACUGACGCUGAGGUGCGAAAGCGUGGGGAGC
rnacentral:rRNA from 1 species